CUGCUAGCUUCAGCAGUACAUAUACUAAAAUUGAAUGAUAUAGAGGAGAAUAAGAUAGCCCCUGUGCAAGAAUGAUACACAGAUUCAUGACACCUUCCAUAUAAGG